GAUGAACGCUGGCGGCGUGCCUAAUACAUGCAAGUCGAGCGAACAGACGAGGAGCUUUCUUCUCUUACGUUUUCGUCGGACGGGGGAGUAUCACGUGGAUAACCUCUCUAUUAGACUGGGAUAACUUCGUUAAACCGGAGCUCUUACCGGACAAUAUAUUUAACCUCAUCGUUCAAUAUUGAAAGACGGUUUUGUUUUCACUUAUAGAUUGAUCCGGGCCGCAUUAGCUAGUUGGUAAGGUAACGGCUUACCAAGGCAACAAUGCGUAGCCGACCUGAGAGGGUGAUCGGCCACACUGGAACUGAGACACGGUCAAGACUCCUACGGGAGGCAGCAGUAGGGAAUCUUCCGAAAUGGGCGAAGGCCUGACGGAGAAACGCCGCGUGAGUGAUGAAGGUCUUCGGAUCGAAAAACUUUGUUAUUAGGGAAGAACAAAUGUGUAAGUAACUAUGCACGUAUUGACGGUACCUAAACAGAAAGCCACGGCUAACUACGUG
rnacentral:rRNA from 1 species